AAAAAAUACUAUGCCAUGUUUCAAAAAAUAUAUAUGCUAGAAUAUACUGUUAGAUCAAAUUUGUUAGCACCUUGAUAUAAAUUAUUUAAAUAUAUUUACUAAGCUGUCGGUCUUAUAGGACUUGGUCAAACUUGAUAAUUUCGAUAGGUCAAGAUGACAAGAUCACUUAAUGAAUAAUUAAUUGGACUUCGAAAAAAUUCCUAAUUUAGUUUUCAGAAGAAAAAAAUAUCACUAAUGAAAAUCACAAACAAACGCUACAUUGUGAUAAAUAUGAGAAUGGGUAGAUAAAAGAAACUAUUAUAGGAUCCGAUUAGUUGUAGCUUUAAAAAAUUUGUUGUAGAAAAAGAUCCGUAGAUUUUUUGUUGUGGUUUUAGAUUUUAUUGUUGUAGAAUUUUAUGGAAAGCUCCAAAAAAUUGUUCUGAAUUUUUGGCUCUACAAAACACUUAUACAGCUGUAGGUUAUUUCAAGAGCUGUGAUUUUAAAUUUUUUAUUAAACCUUGAUUGUUGUGAAUUUAGUGCUGCAUAAAUAAAUGAGGCUGUGGACAACUUCUACAUCCAUUACCAAUCACAUCCAUAAUUUGGUUGAAAUUAAAUUGUCAUAUUAUAAUACCAGACUGAAAUGAGCGAAAAUAAAAUUAUGAGUAGUUAAAGUACAACAGCUCUCAUAGGAUUCUCCAUAUUUCUCUUCUUUUUACUCAAGCACCGUCUAAUUUAUAUUUGUUUCUCUUUGGUGACUGAGUUCUUCACCAACGCUAAAGUGACAAGUCUUAUCGGACCUCUCCGUCUUCUGUUAGCAUUUCCUGGUCUGAUGGUGACUUAUUAGCUUCCCAUAUGUUCAAGCAGUUCGUUGUUGGAUAGUUUAAUUCUCUUGAAAUGGAAUCAUUUAUUGCCUUGUCCUUGUCCUGUGCACAGACUUUAGUUCAUUGGUUGCCUUUCAUCCAUUUUUAGGCUUUGUUGUUGGUAGUUUGUUCCGAUUUUUUUGUUUAAAUUGGUAUUGAUUCCAAAGUCUGCUUCUUCUCCGGAGUCGUUGGAGUUCGCUGGUGGCUUUUCCUGGUUUGCUUGUCAUACAUAUUCAGUUUGUUCCCGGUUCUUGUCAGAGGGAUAAGACCUUGUUCCUUUUUUCAUGGUGGUCUCUAUCUAGGCGUCUAUUGGUAAUGUUAUGUGUUGUGGAAGUUUUAUGAAAAUCAAUUGGUCUUAGCUUGCCGGAUUAUGAAGCCAUAUGUUCUUUGUGAUGAAGAGGUGGUCUCUCAUCAUUUUACGAGGAAGAUGUGUCAUGUGGCAUGUUGUGGCCAUCAGUCUUAUGUAGCAGGCAAGAUUUCUACCUGGUAGAGUCAAUUACUUUUGUCGGAAUAUUUUGCAAAUUUUCAAUAUCCUAUCCAAGCAUACCCCUAUGAUAUAUAAUAUAAAAUAAUGAAUCUAUUAAAUAAUCAUUUAUUCCGCUAUGUUUAAAGAAUAAUUUAUUGAACUUGAUUCUCGUGCCAAAUUUUGGAUGUGGAGAAGAUAAUUAACUGAAGUUGUUGUUGACAAAAAAAAAUUGAAGUUGUUGAAAGAUAAUAAUAUUGUAUUUGUACAGUAAAGUAGUUGAUAAAAUACAAAUAAAUAAAUAUUACCUAUUUGUAUAUUAUUUUCAUAAAUAUUUAUAAGAAAAUUAUGAGUGUAAUGAAAUAUAAAACUUAAAUUUUAUAUUUAGAAGAAAAUAAAUGUUAAACCGUCUCUGCUUUUUUUUCUCAAUGCAUUCGGGUGAAUGAUUUAACAUAUACAUCAUAAACAAUUAUAACAUAUACCCUUUAGUAUAUGUUUAAUGCUUUAUCAGUGCAAAAAACGUUUUCCACUUAUAAUAUAUGUGGCUCUCUAUACUUGGCACUGUUGUCGUGUUGUUAUGUGGUGGUGUUUUAGUAAAACAAUCUUGUUGGAUUUGUGAGUAUGAAAUUUGGUUUAAUUGUUCUAUCUUCAAAGCACAUUUAGCGACUUUCAGGUAUGUUUCUCUAGGUAGUUGAAGCUUGGUGACAGUCUCCCAAUGGAUAAUUUUUUUUCUUUCACCAGUUAAGUGAAGUUUUGUUAUUUUCAGUUUACUCUGGCUUACAGAUUUGUCUUGGUAUUGGCAUAGUUCUCUUUUUUUUUGGGGCAGAAGUCGUCAUACAUGUGCAUAAUACAUAUAUAUUUUCAUACAUCUGUAGGAGUAGAAGCGUGAAAACCCCUGUAUAUAUAGUUAAUAUUGUGCAUAGUUAUCGGUUAAUGAAAAAUGUUAUCAUCUUGUUCAAAUCUUCUAAAACGAUAUCCCAACCACU